rnacentral:rRNA from 1 species
UGAGGUAUGCUGGAGGUAUCAGAAGUGCGAAUGCUGACAUAAGUAACGAUAAAGCGGGUGAAAAGCCCGCUCGCCGGAAGACCAAGGGUUCCUGUCCAACGUUAAUCGGGGCAGGGUGAGUCGACCCCUAAGGCGAGGCCGAAAGGCGUAGUCGAUGGGAAACAGGUUAAUAUUCCUGUACUUGGUGUUACUGCGAAGGGGGGACGGAGAAGGCUAUGUUGGCCGGGCGACGGUUGUCCCGGUUUAAGCGUGUAGGCUGGUUUUCCAGGCAAAUCCGGAAAAUCAAGGCUGAGGCGUGAUGACGAGGCACUACGGUGCUGAAGCAACAAAUGCCCUGCUUCCAGGAAAAGCCUCUAAGCAUCAGGUAACAUCAAAUCGUACCCCAAACCGACACAGGUGGUCAGGUAGAGAAUACCAAGGCGCUUGAGAGAACUCGGGUGAAGGAACUAGGCAAAAUGGUGCCGUAACUUCGGGAGAAGGCACGCUGAUACGUAGGUGAAGUCCCUUGCGGAUGGAGCUGAAAUCAGUCGAAGAUACCAGCUGGCUGCAACUGUUUAUUAAAAACACAGCACUGUGCAAACACGAAAGUGGACGUAUACGGUGUGACGCCUGCCCGGUGCCGGAAGGUUAAUUGAUGGGGUUAGCGGUAACGCGAAGCUCUUGAUCGAAGCCCCGGUAAACGGCGGCCGUAACUAUAACGGUCCUAAGGUAGCGAAAUUCCUUGUCGGGUAAGUUCCGACCUGCACGAAUGGCGUAAUGAUGGCCAGGCUGUCUCCACCCGAGACUCAGUGAAAUUGAACUCGCUGUGAAGAUGCAGUGUACCCGCGGCAAGACGGAAAGACCCCGUGAACCUUUACUAUAGCUUGACACUGAACAUUGAGCCUUGAUGUGUAGGAUAGGUGGGAGGCUUUGAAGUGUGGACGCCAGUCUGCAUGGAGCCGACCUUGAAAUACCACCCUUUAAUGUUUGAUGUUCUAACGUUGGCCCCUAAUCGGGGUUGCGGACAGUGUCUGGUGGGUAGUUUGACUGGGGCGGUCUCCUCCUAAAGAGUAACGGAGGAGCACGAAGGUUGGCUAAUCCUGGUCGGACAUCAGGAGGUUAGUGCAAUGGCAUAAGCCAGCUUGACUGCGAGCGUGACGGCGCGAGCAGGUGCGAAAGCAGGUCAUAGUGAUCCGGUGGUUCUGAAUGGAAGGGCCAUCGCUCAACGGAUAAAAGGUACUCCGGGGAUAACAGGCUGAUACCGCCCAAGAGUUCAUAUCGACGGCGGUGUUUGGCACCUCGAUGUCGGCUCAUCACAUCCUGGGGCUGAAGUAGGUCCCAAGGGUAUGGCUGUUCGCCAUUUAAAGUGGUACGCGAGCUGGGUUUAGAACGUCGUGAGACAGUUCGGUCCCUAUCUGCCGUGGGCGCUGGAGAACUGAGGGGGGCUGCUCCUAGUACGAGAGGACCGGAGUGGACGCAUCACUGGUGUUCGGGUUGUCAUGCCAAUGGCACUGCCCGGUAGCUAAAUGCGGAAGAGAUAAGUGCUGAAAGCAUCUAAGCACGAAACUUGCCCCGAGAUGAGUUCUCCCUGACUCCUUGAGAGUCCUGAAGGAACGUUGAAGACGACGACGUUGAUAGGCCGGGUGUGUAAGCGCAGCGAUGCGUUGAGCUAACCGGUACUAAUGAACCGUGAGGCUUAACCUUACAACGCCGAAG